AUUAAUUUAAUUAUUUAUUAUUUUUUAAAUAAAAUAUUAUUUAUUUUUAUUAUUAUUAAAGAAAAAAUUAAUUAAUUUAUAGUUAAUAGUAUUGUGAAAGAAAUUUGAAAUAUUUGAAAAAUUAAAUGUUAAAAAGAAUAAUUAAUUUUUAGUACCUUGUGUGUCAGGGUUUAUUAAUAAAAUUUUAUUUAUAUAAAUUUCUCGAUUUUAAAAGAGUUAAAUAAUUAUUUUUUUUAAUGUUAAAUAAUUAUUAAAAAUAUUUAUUUAGUAAUGAAACGUUAAUCGUUUUUAAAUAUAUCUAGUUUCUUAAGAAAUAAAUUAAAUUUAUUUGUUAGUAUUAACUUAAUUAAUUUUAAAAUUUUGUUUUAUUAAUAGAAAAUAUUUUAAGGGAUAAGCUUUAAAAUAAAUUUAUAUAAUGUUAUUUAAUUAAAAAAAUAGUAGGAUUAAAAUUUUCUUUCUUUAUUAAUAUGUUAUAAUUAAUUUUUUAAUAUUAUUUUUUAUAUAAUGUUUAUAUUUUUUAUUAAGAUUAUUUAUUUAAUAAUUUUAUAAAUGUAAUAAUGAUAAAAUUAGUAUAAUUUUUUGUUAAAAUAAUUUAUUUUUAUAAGGUUAAAUUAAGGAAUUCGGCAAAUUAAUUUUUCGCCUGUUUAAUAAAAACAUGUCUUUUUGAUUAUAAUUUAAAGUCUAACCUGCCCAAUGAAUUUUUAAUGGCCGCGGUAUUUUGACCGUGCAAAGGUAGCAUAAUCAUUAGUUUUUUAAUUGAAAGCUGGAAUGAAUGGUUGGACGAGAAAAUUACUGUCUCAAUUUAAUUUAAUUAGAAUUUUAUUUUUAAGUUAAAAAGCUUAAAUAAAUUUAAAAGACGAGAAGACCCUAUAGAGUUUAAUAUUUUAUUAAAUUAUUUUUUUUUAUAAUAUUUAUAAUUUUAUAAAUUAUUUUAUUGGGGUGAUAUAUAAAUUAAACAAACUUUAUAUAUUUUUUUACAUAAAUUUAUGAAAAAAUGAUCCAUUUUUUAUGAUUAUAAGAUUAAAUUACCUUAGGGAUAACAGCGUAAUUUUUUUAGAGAGUUCUUAUCGAAAAAAAAGAUUGCGACCUCGAUGUUGGAUUAAAAUAAAUUUUUGGUGUAGAAGCUAAAAUAUUAAGUCUGUUCGACUUUUAAAAUUUUACAUGAUCUGAGUUUAAACCGGCGUGAGCCAGGUUGGUUUCUAUCUUUAAAAUGAUUAAAAUAUUUUAGUACGAAAGGACCAAAUAUUUAUAAUAAUUAUUAUAUUUUGAAUAUUAAU
rnacentral:rRNA from 1 species